CCCUUAGAUGUUCUGGGCCGCACGCGCGCUACACUGAUGCAUUCAACGAGUCUAAAACCUGCUCUGAUAGGGGUGGGUAAUCUUUUGAAUGUGCAUCGUGAUUGGGAUAGAUGAUUGCAAUUUUUCAUCUUCAACGUGGAAUGCCUAGUAAACGCAAGUCAUCAGCUUGCAUUGAUUACGUCCCUGCCCUUUGUACACACCGCCCGUCGCUCCUACCGAUUGAAUGAUCCGAUGAAUAUCAUGGAUUGAGGAUGCAAGUAGGUUCGCCUAUCUUCAUCUUCGAGAAGUGAAGUAAAUCUUAUCAUUUAGAGGAAGGAGAAGUCGUAACA
rnacentral:rRNA from 1 species